rnacentral:rRNA from 1 species
UACGUAGGGGGCAAGCGUUAUCCGGAUUUACUGGGCGUAAAGGGAGCGUAGGCGGACUUUUAAGUGAGAUGUGAAAUACCCGGGCUCAACUUGGGUGCUGCAUUUCAAACUGGAAGUCUAGAGUGCAGGAGAGGAGAAUGGAAUUCCUAGUGUAGCGGUGAAAUGCGUAGAGAUUAGGAAGAACACCAGUGGCGAAGGCGAUUCUCUGGACUGUAACUGACGCUGAGGCUCGAAAGCGUGGGGAGCAAACAGGAUUAGAUACCCUGGUA